ACCUGAAACCGUGUACGUACAAGCAGUGGGAGCCUCUUAAUGGGGUGACUGCGUACCUUUUGUAUAAUGGGUCAGCGACUUAUAUUCUGUAGCAAGGUUAACCGAAUAGGGGAGCCGAAGGGAAACCGAGUCUUAACUGGGCGUUAAGUUGCAGGGUAUAGACCCGAAACCCGGUGAUCUAGCCAUGGGCAGGUUGAAGGUUGGGUAACACUAACUGGAGGACCGAACCGACUAAUGUUGAAAAAUUAGCGGAUGACUUGUGGCUGGGGGUGAAAGGCCAAUCAAACCGGGAGAUAGCUGGUUCUCCCCGAAAGCUAUUUAGGUAGCGCCUCGUGAAUUCAUCUCCGGGGGUAGAGCACUGUUUCGGCAAGGGGGUCAUCCCGACUUACCAACCCGAUGCAAACUGCGAAUACCGGAGAAUGUUAUCACGGGAGACACACGGCGGGUGCUAACGUCCGUCGUGAAGAGGGAAACAACCCAGACCGCCAGCUAAGGUCCCAAAGUCAUGGUUAAGUGGGAAACGAUGUGGGAAGGCCCAGACAGCCAGGAUGUUGGCUUAGAAGCAGCCAUCAUUUAAAGAAAGCGUAAUAGCUCACUGGUCGAGUCGGCCUGCGCGGAAGAUGUAACGGGGCUAAACCAUGCACCGAAGCUGCGGCAGCGACACUAUGUGUUGUUGGGUAGGGGAGCGUUCUGUAAGCCUGUGAAGGUGGCCUGUGAGGGUUGCUGGAGGUAUCAGAAGUGCGAAUGCUGACAUAAGUAACGAUAAAGCGGGUGAAAAGCCCGCUCGCCGGAAGACCAAGGGUUCCUGUCCAACGUUAAUCGGGGCAGGGUGAGUCGACCCCUAAGGCGAGGCCGAAAGGCGUAGUCGAUGGGAAACAGGUUAAUAUUCCUGUACUUGGUGUUACUGCGAAGGGGGGACGGAGAAGGCUAUGUUGGCCGGGCGACGGUUGUCCCGGUUUAAGCGUGUAGGCUGGUUUUCCAGGCAAAUCCGGAAAAUCAAGGCUGAGGCGUGAUGACGAGGCACUACGGUGCUGAAGCGACAAAUGCCCUGCUUCCAGGAAAAGCCUCUAAGCAUCAGGUAACAUCAAAUCGUACCCCAAACCGACACAGGUGGUCAGGUAGAGAAUACCAAGGCGCUUGAGAGAACUCGGGUGAAGGAACUAGGCAAAAUGGUGCCGUAACUUCGGGAGAAGGCACGCUGAUAUGUAGGUGAAGCGACUUGCUCGUGGAGCUGAAAUCAGUCGAAGAUACCAGCUGGCUGCAACUGUUUAUUAAAAACACAGCACUGUGCAAACACGAAAGUGGACGUAUACGGUGUGACGCCUGCCCGGUGCCGGAAGGUUAAUUGAUGGGGUUAGCGGUAACGCGAAGCUCUUGAUCGAAGCCCCGGUAAACGGCGGCCGUAACUAUAACGGUCCUAAGGUAGCGAAAUUCCUUGUCGGGUAAGUUCCGACCUGCACGAAUGGCGUAAUGAUGGCCAGGCUGUCUCCACCCGAGACUCAGUGAAAUUGAACUCGCUGUGAAGAUGCAGUGUACCCGCGGCAAGACGGAAAGACCCCGUGAACCUUUACUAUAGCUUGACACUGAACAUUGAGCCUUGAUGUGUAGGAUAGGUGGGAGGCUUUGAAGUGUGGACGCCAGUCUGCAUGGAGCCGACCUUGAAAUACCACCCUUUAAUGUUUGAUGUUCUAACGUGGGCCCCUUACCGGGGUUGCGGACAGUGUCUGGUGGGUAGUUUGACUGGGGCGGUCUCCUCCUAAAGAGUAACGGAGGAGCACGAAGGUUGGCUAAUCCUGGUCGGACAUCAGGAGGUUAGUGCAAUGGCAUAAGCCAGCUUGACUGCGAGCGUGACGGCGCGAGCAGGUGCGAAAGCAGGUCAUAGUGAUCCGGUGGUUCUGAAUGGAAGGGCCAUCGCUCAACGGAUAAAAGGUACUCCGGGGAUAACAGGCUGAUACCGCCCAAGAGUUCAUAUCGACGGCGGUGUUUGGCACCUCGAUGUCGGCUCAUCACAUCCUGGGGCUGAAGUAGGUCCCAAGGGUAUGGCUGUUCGCCAUUUAAAGUGGUACGCGAGCUGGGUUUAGAACGUCGUGAGACAGUUCGGUCCCUAUCUGCCGUGGGCGCUGGAGAACUGAGGGGGGCUGCUCCUAGUACGAGAGGACCGGAGUGGACGCAUCACUGGUGUUCGGGUUGUCAUGCCAAUGGCACUGCCCGGUAGCUAAAUGCGGAAGAGAUAAGUGCUGAAAGCAUCUAAGCACGAAACUUGCCCCGAGAUGAGUUCUCCCUGACUCCUUGA
rnacentral:rRNA from 1 species